rnacentral:rRNA from 1 species
AGCGAACGCUGGCGGCAGGCCUAACACAUGCAAGUCGAACGCCCCGCAAGGGGAGUGGCAGACGGGUGAGUAACACGUGGGAACGUACCCUUUGGUUCGGAAUAACUUGGGGAAACUCAAGCUAAUACCGGAUAAGCCCUUACGGGGAAAGGUUUACCGCCGAAGGAUCGGCCCGCGUCUGAUUAGCUAGUUGGUGAGGUAACGGCUCACCAAGGCGACGAUCAGUAGCUGGUCUGAGAGGAUGAUCAGC